rnacentral:rRNA from 1 species
CACGUAGGGCGCAAGCGUUGUCCGGAAUUAUUGGGCGUAAAGAGCUCGUAGGCGGCCUGUUGCGUCCGCUGUGAAAACCCGGGGCUUAACCCCUGGCUUGCAGUGGAUACGGACAGACUAGAGGUAGGUAGGGGAGAAUGGAAUUCCCGGUGUAGCGGUGAAAUGCGCAGAUAUCGGGAGGAACACCGGUGGCGAAGGCGGUUCUCUGGGCCUUACCUGACGCUGAGGAGCGAAAGCGUGGGGAGCGAACAGG